rnacentral:pre_miRNA from 7 species
GACUGUGGGUUAGAGGGCAGUCUAAACUAUAGAAUGAGGCCCCAUCACAAUGAAAGACCUCCGAAGGGAGACCCCCACUCAAGUCUCUGGAUAAUAGCGGACCCCCAAGAACUCACGAGAGACC